rnacentral:rRNA from 1 species
GAUGCGAAAGCGUGGGGAGCAAACACGAUUAGAUAUCCUGGUAGUCCACGCCGUAAACGAUGUCUACUUGGAGGUUGUGGCCUUGAGCCGUGGCUUUCGGAGCUAACGCGUUAAGUAGACCGCCUGGGGAGUACGGUCGCAAGAUUAAAACUCAAAUGAAUUGACGGGGGCCCGCACAAGCGGUGGAGCAUGUGGUUUAAUUCGAUGCAACGCGAAGAACCUUACCUACUCUUGACAUCCAGAGAACUUUGCAGAGAUGGAUUGGUGCCUUCGGGAACUCUGAGACAGGUGCUGCAUGGCUGUCGUCAGCUCGUGUUGUGAAAUGUUGGGUUAAGUCCCGCAACGAGCGCAACCCUUAUCCUUGUUUGCCAGCACUUCGGGUGGGAACUCCAGGGAGACUGCCGGUGAUAAACCGGAGGAAGGUGGGGACGACGUCAAGUCAUCAUGGCCCUUACGAGUAGGGCUACACACGUGCUACAAUGGCGUAUACAGAGGGCUGCCAACUCGCGAGAGUGAGCGAAUCCCAUAAAGUACGUCGUAGUCCGGAUUGGAGUCUGCAACUCGACUCCAUGAAGUCGGAAUCGCUAGUAAUCGUGAAUCAGAAUGUCACGGUGAAUACGUUCCCGGGCCUUGUACACACCGCCCGUCACACCAUGGGAGUGGGCUGCACCAGAAGUAGAUAGCUU